GAUGAACGCUAGCGGCAGGCUUAACACAUGCAAGUCGAGGGGCAGCGCGGGAUGGCAAUAUCCUGGUGGCGACCGGCGGAAGGGUGCGUAACGCGUGAGCGACAUGCCCGUUGCCCGGGGACAACCGGUGGAAACGCCGACUAAUCCCCGAUGGGAUACGAUGCUUCAUGGCAUUGUAUUGAAAGUUACGGCGGCGACGGAUUGGCUCGCGUCCGAUUAGCUGGUUGGCGGGGUAACGGCCCACCAAGGCUGCGAUCGGUAGGGGUUCUGCGAGGAAGGCCCCCCACAAUGGGACUGAGACACGGCCCAUACUCCUACGGGAGGCAGCAGUGAGGAAUAUUGGUCAAUGGGCGGAAGCCUGAACCAGCCAUGCCGCGUGCGGGAAGGAGGCCCUAUGGGCUGUGAACCGCUUUUGCCUGGGGGCAAUAAGGGCGUCGCGCACGUCCGAUGAGAGUACCAGGCGAAUAAGCAUCGGCUAACUCCGUG
rnacentral:rRNA from 1 species